rnacentral:lncRNA from 9 species
AGCGAGGUUGGACAACUGAAGUGAGGAUGUGAGCAGGGCUCCAGCGGACAGGUUCAAGGUUGAAGAUGGUGGAUACACUGGCUCAGAAAAUGUGAGGUAGUAUCUCAGGAAUGGGUCGAUGAGUGUCUGUUGAGUUAAGAAGGAAAAAGUAACAAAUUCCACAGAAUUGCAGCAUCAGUUAGAUAAAACAAAGCAACAGCAUCAAGAACAACAAGCUCUUCAGCAAAGCACUACGGCAAAACUUUGAGAAGCUCAGAAUGAUUGGGAAAAAGUGCUUCGUCAAUUUGGUGAUAAGGACCAAAAGAUCCAGAACCUUGAAGCCUUAUUACAGGAGAGUAAAGAAAAUAUUUCUUUCCUAGAAAAGGAAAGAGAAGAUUUUAUGCAAAAACUCAGGCUGGUGAAGGAGAGACCGCUGUUCUUAAUCAGUUGCAGGAAGAAAACCAUAUAUUACAGGAACAAGUAACUCAACUAAAGGCCCAGGAGAAUUUGCAUGACCAGGUGCAAGAGCAGAAGGCACUUCUUAGAGCUGCACAAGACUGUCCUCUCCCUAGAAGCCAGCAUCAAUGAAUUAAAUAAU